AGUGAACGCUGGCGGUAGGCCUAACACAUGCAAGUCGAACGGCAGCACAGUAAGAGCUUGCUCUUACGGGUGGCGAGUGGCGGACGGGUGAGGAAUACAUCGGAAUCUACUUUUUCGUGGGGGAUAACGUAGGGAAACUUACGCUAAUACCGCAUACGACCUACGGGUGAAAGCAGGGGAUCUUCGGACCUUGCGCGAUUGAAUGAGCCGAUGUCGGAUUAGCUAGUUGGCGGGGUAAAGGCCCACCAAGGCGACGAUCCGUAGCUGGUCUGAGAGGAUGAUCAGCCACACGGGAACUGAGACACGGUCCAGACUCCUACGGGAGGCAGCAGUGGGGAAUAUUGGACAAUGGGCGCAAGCCUGAUCCAGCCAUACCGCGUGGGUGAAGAAGGCCUUCGGGUUGUAGAGCCCUUUUGUUGGGAAAGAAAAGCAGCAGGUUAAUACCCCGCUGUUCUGACGGUACCCAAAGAAUAAGCACCGGCUAACUUCGUG
rnacentral:rRNA from 1 species